rnacentral:rRNA from 1 species
AACUGCGAAUGGCUCAUUAAAUCAGUUAUCGUUUAUUUGAUAGUGCCUUACUACAUGGAUACCUGUGGUAAUUCUAGAGCUAAUACAUGCUGAAAACCCCGACUUCGGGAGGGGUGUAUUUAUUAGAUAAAAAACCAACGCCCUUCGGGGCUCCUUGGUGAUUCAUAAUAACUCAACGAAUCGCAUGGCCUUGCGCCGGCGAUGGUUCAUUCAAAUUUCUGCCCUAUCAACUUUCGAUGGUAGGAUAGUGGCCUACCAUGGUGGCAACGGGUAACGGGGAAUUAGGGUUCGAUUCCGGAGAGGGAGCCUGAGAAACGGCUACCACAUCCAAGGAAGGCAGCAGGCGCGCAAAUUACCCAAUCCCGACACGGGGAGGUAGUGACAAUAAAUACUGAUACGGGGCUCUUUUGGGUCUCGUAAUUGGAAUGAGAGCAAUUUAAAUCCCUCACCGAGGAACAAUUGGAGGGCAAGUCUGGUGCCAGCAGCCGCGGUAAUUCCAGCUCCAAUAGCGUAUAUUAAAGUUGUUGCAGUUAAAAAGCUCGUAGUUGAACCUUGGGCCCGGCUGGCCGGUCCGCCUCACCGCGAGUACUGGUCCGGCUGGGCCUUUCCUUCGGGGGAACCCCAUGGCCUUCACUGGCUGUGGGGGGAACCCGGACUUUUACUGUGAAAAAAUUAGAGUGUUCAAAGCAGGCAUUUGCUCGAAUACAUUAGCAUGGAAUAAUAGAAUAGGACGUGCGGUUCUAUUUUGUUGGUUUCUAGGACCGCCGUAAUGAUUAAUAGGGAUAGUCGGGGGCGUCAGUAUUCAGCUGUCAGAGGUGAAAUUCUUGGAUUUGCUGAAGACUAACUACUGCGAAAGCAUUCGCCAAGGAUGUUUUCAUUAAUCAGGGAACGAAAGUUAGGGGAUCGAAGACGAUCAGAUACCGUCGUAGUCUUAACCAUAAACUAUGCCGACUAGGGAUCGGGCGGCGUUUCUACAAUGACCCGCUCGGCACCUCACGAGAAAUCAAAGUUU